CUCGUUGGUGACCAGCGG
rnacentral:rRNA from 1 species